rnacentral:misc_RNA from 1 species
UGGCUCUCGCAUCGAUGAAGAACGCAGCGAAAUGCGAUAAGUAAUGUGAAUUGCAGAAUUCAGUGAAUCAUCGAAUCUUUGAACGCACCUUGCGCCCCUUGGUAUUCCGAGGAGCAUGCCUGUUUGAGUGUCUUGAAGUCAUCAACCCCUCACGUUUCGUGCGGAGAGGGAGGUUGGAGCUGGGGGCCUGCGGCCGUUGGUCCGCUCCCCUCAAAUGCUUCGGUUGGGCCUGCGGGUCGGACUCGGUUGGGCGUUGUACCAUCCUCGCUCCCGAGUCCCCCCGCGACUGUGCCCUCCCCAGACCCGCCUCCGGGGCGUUGGUCAAACCCUUUGAAAUCUGACCUCAAAUCAGGUAGGACUACCCGCUGA